CAUAGAAAUGUUCAUAUUUUUUUAUUCCAGAUAUUUAUUUGAGCUCAAAGCAGAUCAUAUUUCUGUAGUUACGCAUGCUGUAUUUACAUUAGCAUGCAGAGUUUGCUUUGUAUGGUGACACCUCAGCUACAGUUUACGCUUGUCUUUGAAUUGGUGAUGGGCCUGGGAACAUUUUCAGACCCUAUUUCGAGGGUUCUACGUAGUUUUUUUUAUCACCCUUACAAAAAUCAUGUCUUCAGAUUGCUAGAAUGAAACUUUUAAUGUUGUCAAUUUAACUUGAGCACAUUUAGCUGGUAUUAUCUCAAGUGACAAUUGAAGAAGGAAAAAAAAUUAUUGUAUAUUGUAAAUUUAACACGAUUUAUUGAUUUAUUUACCACAAUAAAAUACAAAUAAAUAAAAUUAAACUAAUUAUGCGUUACAAAGCUAACAACCUUCCUUUGUCCUGAAACCAAGUUUAUAAAAGUUGUGCCAGUAACAGCGAGAAGACGGCAGGUGGCGCUGGUGUAAAAGCCUCACACCAAGAGGCAAAUAAUCCUUCAGGACUGUCCUUGUACGUGUAUUCUGAUGUUUGGAAGCCAGAUGUCAUCUGCGAGGUCAGUGCUGUCGCUCUCCAAGGUGUUCCAGCCCCUGGCCGGACUAAAUGGCAACACGGUCAAUGUGCUGAGAGCAGUUAUAUGCAACAGGAGAGAGAUGUCCUCUUAUACUCCCCCUCCUGCAAAAUACGGAGGCCGACACACAGUAACACUGAUCCCUGGAGACGGUAUUGGACCGGAACUUCUGAGCCACGUCCGGGAGCUUUUCAGGUUCUGCUGCAUCCCUGUGGAUUUUGAGGUGGUGAAUGUGGACUCCACAGCAACGUCAGAGGAUGACAUUAAUAAUGCUGUCACAGCUAUCAGACGCAACGGAGUUGCACUGAAGGGCAAUAUAGAGACCAAUCACAAACUUCCACCAUCUCACAAGUCCAGGAACAAUUUGCUCCGAACAUCCCUGGAUCUAUACGCUAAUGUGAUGCACUGCCAGACGCUCCCAGGUGUGCAGACCCGGCACAAGGACGUAGACAUCAUCAUUAUUAGAGAAAAUACAGAGGGAGAAUACAGCAGCUUAGAGCAUGAGAAUGUCCCAGGAGUCGUGGAGUGUCUGAAGAUCAUCACUCGGAUAAACUCGUUACGGAUUGCUGAAUACGCCUUUAAACUUGCCAGAGAAAAAGGUCGCCAUAGGGUCACUGCCGUACAUAAGGCCAAUAUCAUGAAGCUGGGUGAUGGUUUGUUCCUGCAAUGCUGUAAGGAAGUAGCAGCCGGAUACCCAGACAUUACUUUUGACAACAUGAUUGUGGAUAACACCACCAUGCAGCUCGUCUCCAAGCCUCAACAGUUUGAUGUAAUGGUGAUGCCAAAUCUCUAUGGGAAUGUGGUGAGCAAUGUGUGUGCCGGACUCGUGGGUGGCCCAGGUUUAGUUCCAGGAGCCAACUAUGGCAAGGACUACGCUGUGUUUGAAACGGCCACAAGAAACACUGGGAAAAGCAUUGCUAACAAGAACAUUGCAAACCCUACGGCCACACUUUUAGCCAGCUGCCUCAUGCUGGAUCAUUUAAAACUUCAUGAUUAUGCCAGUAUCAUUCGGAAAGCAAUCCUUACCACCUUAUCUGAGACCCAGUUACACACCGCUGAUCUGGGGGGACAGGGUACAACGUCUGAGGUGGUGCAAGCCAUAAUGCAGGAGGUUCAGAGAAGCAAACUGCAUACCUCAAAAUCCAUCUGAAUGAGCCUGUAACCUGAACCUCAGGCUUCAAGAGAGAGAAAAAAAAACGAGAAUCUAUUGUGAUGUGGACAACAUCAAUCUACAUAUACUGCAAGAUCGGAUGAAGCUCAUGGGUGUAUGUGUGUGGUUGUGCGUGUUGCUUUACAACAUUAAGCCAGAAUAUUUUUUAAUUAAAUUGACUUCGAGCUGUUAUUAUCAAGCUUUAUUAUGCAAAACUGUGACAGUGAUUUAAAAUUAGCUAAGUGUUUUUUUUUUUUUUUUACAGUUAAAUAUCCAAAGUUUACUCAAAAGAACUAUUGCUGCAUAUGACUUAAUUCUGAAAUGGAAAGUGGGCAAACUUGGAAUGACAUAAAUUUCGACCUCUGCACAUUCAAGAUAUAAAGUAGGAAAGAAACAAAGAUGCCUCAGUGUUUUAAACACCUUUUGUUAAAUGUGACGUGUGAUUUAAAAUGACCUUUAUAGUCAGUGUUAUAGAUAUAUACAGUAUGUGAAUUUUGACUGAUAAAAGGCAAGCAAAGUAUAUAUUAUAUAACUCAUUUAAAAGUAAAGUGCUACUUUGCUGGUUGUCGAUGUUGUAAGCAUCCAUGUCACUUUCUGAACUCCGUUAUUUUCAAAUAGGAAUUCUGAUUUAAGAGCGUGUUUUAUUUUGGUCUGUUUUUAUCCUUGUUUAUAUUAUUUUCCUUUGUGGUACGAGCGUACAAGUGUGAAUACGUAUUUCAUAGUACAUAACACGUAAUACACGUACAACAAACAUACAAGACACUCCUGCUACAAGGACUCCUGCACCUUUUAUAAAAAUAUACAUUUACACGAUUAUACAAAUGGCCCAUAUUGUACAUUUACACAUCGCUGUAAAACUUUUAAUUAAGCCUGGGACUCUUAGGUUCAGUCACCAGUGUGCAGGUGAUGGGGAUCUGCUGAUUAGUCAUGGAGAACGGUGUCUUUUUAUAAAUUGGAGAGAUAAAAGUUGCUCACAUUUGUCUCAUUUUCAUUUGUCAAAAAAAAUCUAUUCAAGGUUUAUUGUUAGGUUUAUUAGGGAUAUACAGGGAAAAUGAUUACUGGGUUUAUAACUGGAUGUGUGAUUUCUGUGUAAACUGUUCUGUUGAUCAGUUAAUUCAGGACCAACAAACACUGCAAUUUUUAAACACAGACAUGUUACCCAUGUGAGACAGGUUCCCUUUUCAGUCUGGUUCCUCUCCAGGUUUCUUCCUCAGACCAUCUCAGGGAGUUUUUCCUUGCCACCAUUGCCACUGGAUUAUUCCUAAUGGAUAAACUUAUAGGGACAAAUUAAUGAAUUUAAAAUGUAUAUUCUUAAUUAUUAAUGUCUGUAUAGCUGCAUUUCACAGUGAAAUUGUCCACUGUGAAAUGCACUAUACAAAUAAAAUUGAAUUGAAUUGAAAGUUUUUAUCGAUUGAUUGUUAGACAAGCAGAUGUCAAACCAAACCUGUUACUGUGAUGAAUGAGUGAUGUUUUUUGUAUGAGGAUAUCAGAUAUACUGUACAUGCUCAGCCUUUUCACUUUCAUAAUGCUGUUACUAAAACCCAUUAGGUAUCUUCAGGAAAAUUCAUAAACCCUCCUAUCUGUAACAUUACUAGAAUAUGUUUAUUGGAACCUGUCAGUUUCCAAUACUGUUAGUACUGUGAAUAAAAUUUAAGCAAGA